rnacentral:rRNA from 1 species
UACGUAGGGGGCGAGCGUUGUCCGGAAUCAUUGGGCGUAAAGCGCGUGUAGGCGGCCCGGUAAGUCCGCUGUGAAAGUCCAGGGCUCAACCCUCGAAUGCCGGUGGAUACUGUCGGGCUAGAGUGCGGAAGAGGAGAGUGGAAUUCCUGGUGUAGCGGUGAAAUGCGCAGAUAUCAGGAAGAACACCCGUGGCUAAGGCGGCUCUCUAGUACGGUACUGACGCUGAGACGCGAAAGCGUGGGGAGCGAACAGG